rnacentral:misc_RNA from 1 species
UCCGGUUUGGCACCGGCAGUCCUCCCAGAGUCCCCGCCAUGACGCGCUGGCAACUGGGAGCGGGGGUUGCGCUCGUUGCGGGACUUAACCCAACAUCUCACGACACGAGCUGACGACAGCCAUGCAGCACCUGUCUCCGGUCCAGCCGAACUGAAGAACUCCAUCUCUGGAGUCCGCGACCGGGAUGUCAAGGGCUGGCAAGGUUCUGCGCGUUGCGUCGAAUUAAACCACAUGCUCCACCGCUUGUGCGGGCCCCUGUCAAUUCUUUUGAGUUUUAGCCUUGCGGCCGUACUCCCCAGGCGGAACACUUAUCGCGUUGGCUUCGGCACAGACAGAUUCGACUCCGCCCACACCUAGUGUUCAUCGUUUACGGCGUGGACUAC